rnacentral:rRNA from 1 species
UACGUAGGGUGCGAGCGUUAAUCGGAAUUACUGGGCGUAAAAGUGUGCGCAGGCGGCGCCGCAAGUCGAGUGUGAAAGCCCCCGGGCUUAACUUGGGAAUUGCGCUCGAAACUAUGGUGCUGGAGUGUGGCAGAGGAAGGUGGAAUUCCACGUGUAGCGGUGAAAUGCGUAGAGAUGUGGAGGAACACCGAUGGCGAAGGCAGCCUUCUGGGCCAACACUGACGCUCAUGCACGAAAGCGUGGGGAGCAAACAGG